UACAGAGGGUGCGAGCGUUGUUCGGAAUUAUUGGGCGUAAAGGGCGCGUAGGCGGUGCGGUAAGUCACCUGUGAAAUCUCCUGGCUUAACUGGGGGCGUGCGGGCGAUACGGGCAGACUAGAGUGCGGUAGGGGAGACUGGAAUUCCUGGUGUAGCGGUGAAAUGCGCAGAUAUCAGGAGGAACACCGGUGGCGAAGGCGGGUCUCUGGGCCGUAACUGACGCUGAGGAGCGAAAGCGUGGGGAGCGAACAGG
rnacentral:rRNA from 1 species